rnacentral:pre_miRNA from 1 species
GGGGGGAGGCCGGAUCCUGGGCUGUGUCCCGGCGCCCUGUGGUCCGGGGCCUGCGCUGUUGGAUUCGGGCUCCCGGCCCUGCAGCCCCCU